GUCCCGCGUCCUCCGCGGCUCAGGACGACUACGCUCGGCACGUCCGGGACCCUCCGGCCGUGGCGGUUGCAGCGCCAAAAGCUCGGGCCUCAGCCCCUGACGCUGUGGUGACUCCGCCGCGCCUCGCCGUCGCCCCUGUCCCCGUCCUGCCCGCCGCCUCCGCCGCUGGGGACAUGUCCAACCCCGGAAGCCGGAGGAACGGGCCCGUCAAGCUGCACCUGACAGGUAUAUUGAAAAGUCUGAUUCAGUUACAAUCAGUGUAUGGAAUCACAAGAAGAUCCAUAAGAAACAAGGUGCUGGAUUUCUCCGUUGUGUUCAUCUUUUUCCAGUGCCAUCAACCACCUCAAAGACACUGGUUAUCAGAGGUUGGAUUUAUGCAAACCUGGGCCAAAGGACAGUUAGAAGACGACGGAGUUUCACUCUUGUCGCCCAGGCUGGAGUGCAGUGGCGUGAUCUUGGCUCACUGCAACCUCCGUCUCCCUGGUUUAAGCGAUUCUCCAGCCUCAGCCUCUGGAAUAGCUGGGAUUACAGUGCUGAUGGGCCCGUGCAACAGUUGCUGGUAAAUGGCUGAUUAAAAAGCACAGAAAGCCGAACAAGACCCAACCAAAUUUGUGGUCAGAAUCGUUGCCAGACUUGUCCGGGGGAGGCUGGCUGGAGAAUGAAGGGAAUGAAUGAAGUGUCAGCCUCUCCUCUCAGGCUGGAGCGCAGUGGCACGAUUCCAACUCAUGGCAACCUCCACCUCCUGGGUCAAGUGAUUCUCCUGCUUCAGCCUCCUGAGUAGCUGGGAUUACGGGCACCUGCCACCACACCCAGCUAAUUUCUGUAUUUUUACAAAAAUUUGGACUCUGCUUAGAUUGGCUUAGUUUUCUCUUUAGUCAAAUCUUCAGGAACCAAUUUAUUACCAUUAAAAAUGAUCUAACAAGCUUUAUUUUUAUUAUUGUUAAAAAUCCUCAUUUUGAGGAACACAACCACAAAGUAAAGAAUGUUUUCAUUGAUUUAACCAGUAAAAAUCAAUAUUUAAUUAUAAAAUUUUUUUUUUCUUCAGCUAAAACAGCGGAAGAGGUGAUUUAUUAUAUGGUUGUUACACUCGGCCACAAAUAAACACAGAAAUAGUCCAGAAUGUCACAGGUCCAGGGCAGAGGACCAACAUGGGCAUUUUGUUUAUGAGCAAGGUGGGUCUCAGAGGUGAUCGGCGAUCAGAGGGCGAUGAAGUUCUAGAUCCAUUGAGACAAGCUCUAGACAGUAGCAUGCAGUCCCACAACUUGUACCAGCAUCCCCAGCAUCUGGCAUUCCAUGUUUCUGCUCCUGUGGCCUCCACAGUGCAACAAGCUAGCGGUUUACUUGGACCUCUACCUCAUCUUUCUUCUUUUGCGCUUCAGCCUGCGCAUUCGCUUCUUCCUCCACUUGGCUCUCAUGGUGCAGGUUUCCAAGAAAAUGGCGCUAAGGCCGAGAGUUAAUAAUAAAAUAUUUAAAACAUGGCUCCAGGCCAUCCAGAUGCCUUAACUUGGGCUCAGGCUCCUGAUACUGAUGGGUCUUUUAUCUUCCUCUGAUGCCUUUUCUGUGAAUUCACCUGUUUUGGAAGAAAACACAAUUAAGGUUAUCUAUCACAACAACCACUAUCUCCAAUGUGUAUUCAUUCCUUUUAUUCAUUUUAAGUCUCAUCUACCUGAUGAGAUAACUUUUUUGAAGACAGGCAUUAUAUGCUGUUUAACAGUACUUUGAUUCUUCCACAGUUCAGUCAUCCUUGCUACCUUGCAGAGGACUGGUUCUAGGAUAUCGCCCCCACACCAUACCAGAAUCUGUGGAUGCUCAAUCCCUUAAAUAUAAUGGUGCAGUGUUUGCAUAUAACCAACACCCCCGCCCCCAUAUACUUUAUUUAUUUACUUACUUAGAGACAGGAUCACCCUCUGUCACUCAGGCUGGAGAACAGUGUCACAAUCACAGCUCACUGCAGCCUCAACUUCCUGGGCUCCAGUGAUCUGCCCACCUCAGCCUCUUGAGUAGCUGGGACUACAGGUGCAUACCACCACACCUGGCUAAUUUUUUUAUUUUUAUUUUUAUUAAAGACAAGGUCUCACUAUGCUGCCCAGGUUGGCCUCCCAAAGUGUUGGGAUUACAAGUGUGAGUCACCGUGCCUGGUCCCAUGUACUUGAAGUCAUCACUAACAAAAUGUAUAGAUAUUGUAUAAUGGCAACAGUUGUUAUACUGUACUUUCUAUUUGUAUUUUUAUUUUUUCUUUCUUCAAAUAUUCAGCCUCAUCUAGUUGAAUCUGAAGAUGUGGACCUGCUGAUGAAGAGGGCUGAUUGUAUCUAACUUAGGGUCUUGCAUGCAGCUGGCACUUAAUGCAUUUUAUUGACUGUUUUAGCUAACAUUCAAUGGACAAUUCCUAAUAAAAAACUCCACUCCCAAAAGUA